rnacentral:rRNA from 1 species
UGCGUAGGCGGCUAUGUAAGUCAGGAGUGAAAGUUUGCGGCUCAACCGUAAAAUUGCUUUUGAUACUGCAUGGCUGGAAUUAGGAUGAGGUCAGCGGAAUGUGGCAUGUAGCGGUGAAAUGCAUAGAUAUGCCAUAGAACACCAAUUGCGAAGGCAGCUGGCUAGACCUGGAUUGACGCUGAGGCACGAAAGCGUGGGGAGCGAACAGGAUUAGAUACCCUGGUAGUCCACGCCCUAAACGAUGCUUACUCGACGUAUGAUGCUUGACAUUGUGCGUCCAAGGGAAACCGUUAAGUAAGCCACCUGGGGAGUACGACCGCAAGGUUGAA